UAACUUACCUGGCAUAAGGAUACCGUGAACAAUUAGGCGGUUCCUCCACGUGAGGCUUGGCAUUGCACUUCGCUGGGCUGAAGCGUGCGAUCUCCCCAAACGUGGGAGACUCGGUGCGCAAUUUUUGGUAGGGGGGACUGCGUUCGCGCGUCCCCCAC